AAAUGUCUCGGUGAAACUCGAUGAAGUAACCGCAACCCGGCGAAGGACAACGUCUGAUCGUCAAACCCUUGUUUUGUUCCAGGAAAGAUCUGAGAACGUACUCGUUGUGCAUGCCUUUAGCCUCCAACGUUAGCAUAGCUAGGUUUUUCUCCACGGAGAAGAAGCUAUCGUUAUAGUUCGAAUCGGUUAUCAAACCCGAUCGCAUCAACAGCUUCUCCUUGUCUUCGCUCAAACGCUCCGAAACGCGUUGCGAGUCCCACUGGAGAUUCAUGAGGAGUACGGUCGCAGCGGGUUUUGAGAGCAAGAAGAUCUCGGAGAGAUCAUCGAUCUGUUUGUUCAUCUUCUCGUUGAGAUCGUCCCUAGUGAGAACAGAGUACUCUCGCUCUGGAUCGUGCUCCAUGUUUGCUUUUCUUGAAGUUGACGAAGAUAGGAAAGAACGAAUCACCAAGAGGGCAGAUGAUCGAUUAAGGAAACAGGGUUCAUGGUUUACCAAAGACUUCCGUUUUUAUAGGAAAUCUAGGGUUUCACACGGCUUCGCUAUAUUCCUUUUUGAAAAAGUAAACUAAGCCCAUUGGGCCUUAGUCUUAGCUGAUUUUUCCUUUUUUUGAUGGAUAAAGGUUAAUUAGUUGUUGUUCAAAAAAAAAAAAAGGUUAAUUAGUUUUAUUUUAGUAUUAAAAAUAUGCAAGUGAUUAACUAUCGACUUGAAUUUGAUGGUCAAAAAUAGAUUUGUUAAACCAGAUUCUAAUGGUUUCCUUUUCCACUGCCUUGGCGUAGAUAAAAAGCAGAUUUUCUUUGAUAAUGAAACCUGGCCCAUUGGGCCUUAAUAUUAUUUGAUUUUUUCCUUUUUCGGCUGGAAAAAAGGUUUAAUAACCCAACAUUAUUCUAUUCCUAUAUUUGAUAAUUGAUUACAGCUCCACUUGAGAAACUGUCGGCAUUGAACAAUCAGCAUCAAGCCUUCUCUCAUGUUCCGUAUGUACUCUUGGCUAGUGAAGUGGGAUUCGUCGAAAGAUUCUAGCUCGGACUUGGCUUCCACCAUUGCGACAUCACUCGCCUCCCAUCGAUCCACACACGUAACGACAACCGCUUCUGGUCCGUUCGCGAGUUGUGGUAGCAACGGUCCAACACAGGCUCCAUAGUAUCCGUCUGCCGUUUUGUGGGACUCCACUGUCUGCAUACACUCGCUACAUAAACGACCACUACAAACAAGAGAGUAAACACACAGGUUAGUUUAUGAUUAGUCAACACUAAAAAUCGGUCAUGGCAGCAAAACGUUUCUCAAAUUUUUAUUUUAAAAAAAAUCAGUUUAAGCUGCGUCUAAGCAGUAAUCUCCUAUAAAAAAACUAAUUAAAGCCUAACGAUUUCUAGAACAUUGUUAACAAUUAAUAAGAGAACCAUGACAAUCUAAUAAGAUCUAUUUUCUUUUAACCAACCUGCAGUUUAAGCGCUGCUUAGGCACUAAUCUAAUUAAAGUCUUAACGAUUGUUUAACAUUUAAUAAAAGAAACAUGACAAUCUUAGAACUAUUUUUUUUUACCAACCUAGGCACUAAUCUAAUUAAAGCCUAAUGAUUUCUUGAACAUUGUUAACAUUUAAUUAGAGAAACAUGACAAUUUAAUAUCAGUUUUUUUUACCAACCUGCAGGCACUAAUCUAAUUAAAGCCUAAUGAUUUUCUUCAACAUCAUUAACACUUAAUUAGAGAAACAUGACAAUCUAAGAUCAGUUUUUUUAUUUUUACCAACCUGCAGUAGAGACAUUCCACAAACCGGAACAGCCUUGAACGAGAACCAACCUCUAUAGGAAACUGGCAAUGAGGGCAAGGCUUCGUGUUACUUUCGAUCCAAGAAACGCUCAGCGACUCUGAUAACUUCCCCAAGUCUCUCAACCAAUCAGAAGCGUUGUUGCACGUCACAGGUCUGUGCGACUCAAGGCUGCACCUCCCGCAAAAGGUAUGACCACAUAGACACACAACGUUUAGACCAUACUCGUCAAAAUAAAUGUCUCGGUGAAACUCGAUGAAGUAACCGCAACCCGGCGAAGGACAACGUCUGAUCGUCAAACCCUUGUUUUGUUCCAGGAAAGAUCUGAGAACGUACUCGUUGUGCAUGCCUUUAGCCUCCAACGUUAGCAUAGCUAGGUUUUUCUCCACGGAGAAGAAGCUAUCGUUAUAGUUCGAAUCGGUUAUCAAACCCGAUCGCAUCAACAGCUUCUCCUUGUCUUCGCUCAAACGCUCCGAAACGCGUUGCGAGUCCCACUGGAGAUUCAUGAGGAGUACGGUCGC
rnacentral:lncRNA from 1 species